rnacentral:lncRNA from 1 species
AUGGUCCACUAUUCGCUUGACCAAGAAAACCCCACAAAAUCAUGCAAAUCAGAAGGUUCAAAUCUUCAUGUUCACUCUGAAAACACCCAUGAAACUGCCCAGGCCACCAAGGGUAUGCAUAUAUAAAAAGCCGUCAAGUAUCUGAAAGAUGUCAGAAACAGUCUGUACCAUUCCAGUGUUACAAUGGUGGAGUUGGGAAGUGUGCCCAAGCCAAACAUUGGGGCUAGACACAUGGUCAGUGGCCCAAAAAGAAUGCUGAGUUUUUGCUGCACAUGCUUAAAAAUGCAGAAAAUAAGUCAGAACCUAGGGGUUUCGAUGUAGACCCUUUGGCCAUUGAGCAUAUCCAGGUGAACAAAGCACCCAAGAUGCCCUGCCAGACUUGCAAAGCUCAUGGUUGGAUUAACCCAUACAGGAACUCCCCCUGCCACAUGGAGAUGAUCUUUACUGAAAAGAAACAAAAUCAGAAGAGAAAGAUAUCCCAGAGGAAACUGAAGAAACCAAUACAUAGGGCACAG